rnacentral:rRNA from 1 species
GCCUACGGGGGGCAGCAGUAGGGAAUCUUCCACAAUGGGCGAAAGCCUGAUGGAGCAACGCCGCGUGGGUGAAGAAGGUCUUCGGAUCGUAAAACCCUGUUGUUAGAGAAGAAGGUGCGUGAGAGUAACUGUUCACGUUUCGACGGUAUCUAACCAGAAAGCCACGGCUAACUACGUGCCAGCAGCCGCGGUAAUACGUAGGUGGCAAGCGUUAUCCGGAUUUAUUGGGCGUAAAGGGAACGCAGGCGGUCUUUUAAGUCUGAUGUGAAAGCCUUCGGCUUAACCGGAGUAGUGCAUUGGAAACU